GCCGGUGUAGCUCAGUGGUAGAGCAGCGCUUUUGUAAAGCGAAGGUCGUGGGUUCAAUCCCCUCCACCGGCUCCA
rnacentral:tRNA from 1 species